UGCCAAUGAAUCUCUAGAAGCCUCUCAACGUGCUUUCUCUGCGACUGACCUUGAAUCCAUCCUUAGACAACUUCUUCCAUCUGGUAACGGUAAUACUCAUGCAGCUCUUUCCACCACACCAGGACAAACAGACGGGACAACUCAUAGGGACUGGAUGUAAGAUCGGAAGGUUAUUUGAGCUCACUCAACUACAUGUUCCUCGUGUCUCCAAAAAUAUUUGUGCUGCUUCCACAGAUUCCUCCAUCCAGCUUUGGCAUCAACGUCUUGCUCAUAGCUCUAUUGGAAAAUUGCGUCCUCUAGUG
rnacentral:lncRNA from 1 species